UGCUCAGAAUUACACCAAAGGGUAAUGUGGUAAAUUACUUAUGGAUCCUAAUUGUUCAAUAUGGUUUAUCUAAAUUUUCUGGUCUAGUUGUUAGGCACCUAUAACCUUUCUUUGAUGGUCGCACCAGCGUUUUCCUUUAUUUGAAAGCUUAGCAUGUGGAUCUUAUCCUAACACAGUUUCGAAAUGGCCACAGAUCUCCCUAAUUACGUUUCCCCAAGAGUGGUUGUGGUGUGAAAUCCUGGUGUGGAAACGCCACAAAAUCCGAAGGCUAGAACAAUCGAUCUUUGCAAUAAUCCCAUGACAAAGGAACCGAAGCUUCAGGGUGCUAGAAGAAUAGUAACUGAGAAUGGCCCGAUCUUGCUCUCGAGGCACGAAAAUUCACAACAAAAAUCUUGGGUGAAGAUAUGGAACUCAACGAGCCUGUCGCUGCUGCGACAGAAAAUCCUAAGUCCUAACCCUUCUCCUUCAAGAGACAUCUCUGAAGAUUCAGAACAAGAUCUGGAAUCUAAGGCAGAAUUGUAAAUGCAGGUUCCUCUAAUUUCAAAAGAAGAGAAGAAAACUUUAUUGCUAGGUAAGGUUUCUAGUUUUUGUUUUUUGAAGUACCAGUUUCAAAGACACAUUUCAGCAAAACUGUCCUGGGAGAGUGAAGAAUCAACUAUAGUUUGCAUUUUUGCAAUGUUCUAAACUAGAUAGGCUCAACAUUUUGUGAAGUAGAUCAACCUUGUGCAGAAGAAUAAUCUCAGUAUAGUUAUGAUUAAGUUUCACUACUUUUGCAAUUUGCAAAUGAUAAUAAAAUUCGACACUGUUAUGAUUAA